ACGAAGAACCUUAAAAAGAGUGAAAUGUUUGUACCUUUAAAUGGGUAUGAAGAGGGCUAAUGAUGAAUAUACGAUUGAUUCGAACAGUGGCACGCAGAUUGGAGGAAAAGGUAGCAAAUCAUGAAAAAAGAAAAAAGAAACUAGAUUUGGACAGAUUUAGGAUCGAUAUUUAGACACAUUACUUUUAGACAAAAAAGAAGAACAAGAGAAACAUGCACAAAGUGGUUUAUAAAAAGAAGAGUAAUUAAUUAGAAAAAAUAAGUCGACCCAAAGGAAAACCAUGUCCAAAUGAGAAUACAAGGUCCAUAAAUAAAGGAAAAGAAUCGAUGCAAUUACAGUGCUUGGUAAACAAAAAAAUAGGAUUAAGUCAUUCCGGCUUCCAAACAAGUACUGUGGAUGAGGUAAAGACAUCGAAAAACCGUUACGAAACAACAGAAAGCACAUCAUUGAAUCCAUCAAAUACCUAAUAAUAGUCAUUACUGUAUGAAUCAUUAUCAGCGGUAAGUCCUGAAUCAUCGAGAUCACCGGGAUUGCGAGUCAAGUUAACUACAAUACAAGUGAUAUUGUCUGUACUAAGACGUUUUAAUGCAAAUUCUACCAGGCGAACAGCGGCUUCGCGAGGGCUUACGAAAUUGCGAACAAAGUCGACAGCUUCCUGAUCCGAUACUACAUCCCACAAGCCAUCACAAGCGAUAAUGAAGAACUCAUCAUGACCGUUCCAGAUUCGGGUUUCAGUGGUGAAGGGAUGCGCACUGACCAAUUCCUUAAGAUAGGUAUCACCUAAGGCCCUUGUGACAGCAAGAACGCCAUUAAUUCGGUUUUGUACCAUGAGACCACCCAACUGGGUCACACGACGAGACUCAUUGGCAUCGGAUCCCUUGUGAUCGUAAGAAAGUCGAAUA